ensembl:snRNA U2 U2 spliceosomal RNA
AUCACUUCUCGGCCUUUUGGCUAAGAUCAAGUGUAGUAUCUGUGAACCAGAUACUACAGUGCACCACUGUAUAUGUGGAAGAGACAGGCUUAACCCAAGUCUUUGUCCUGGUAGGACUUUGUAGGUCUUCAUUUUGCUAAUGUACAACUCCCC